GCUGCGUGGAAACUGGAAGUGAGGUCUAUAUAAUUCCACAUCACGUCCAGUGCGCCACUUAGUAUGGGGAGCGAGCGGAACACAGGCGCAAUGUGUGGAUUGGAUCGAUCGCGUAGGGAUGCCUUGAGAGACUUGGCAGAAUUUGGUGUAAAGCUCAAAGGACCACCUUGCAGACAGAGAUAAGACGGCCUGCAGGUUCAUCCGUCAAAGCGGGAGCUCCCUCUGUCACGACCAUAGAUAUGGUCAUUGCUCACGACCAACAUCCUGUCAGUGAAGACCAGCGACGAACAUUGAGAUCCAGAGGAAGUUGUCAUUAACUCUCGAAGUUCCAGAAUGGAGUGAAAAUGGCAGCCAUAUUGGUCAGGGAGAAAUCCAACCCAGUCUAAUUGGAAUGAAUGGCAGAAGAGGCAUAAUCCUGAUUUUGCUUAUGCAGGAAAAUAAAACAAAGACGUGAUUUAUCAAAAAUGGUAUAAUAUAGUUAUUGUCAACCUCAAAUAUUGUCAUAUAAUCAUAAAUACAGUUUACAAGAUUUAUAUAGGUUAUUGUUAGAAAUAGCUUCUAAAUAUAUGUAAACAGACCAUACAUUUAAUAUUUUUGGAAAGCUGAGUCUGCUAUUAUAUGAUCAAAUAUCAGUAGCCUACUUGUUGCACUUACAACUUGUCAAAGUCCUAUCAUCUGCAUUGUUUGAAUGGAAUGUUGUCAGUUCAUUUGAAAAAUCAAUGGAAUCAUUCAUCUAAAACUGGCUAGCUAGCUAACAAACAUACAGUGCAGAUAAAUUCUUCAAAUUCAUUUUUACACAAGAUAUUUUACACUAUCUUAUCACAGCACUGGCAAACCAUGGUUUAACAACUCUC